GUCGGGGUUGCCGCCGCCGCCGACGUUGCCUGCCGAAGGUGAGAUCCCAGGACCUGUCUCCUCCUCUCUUUGCAGCGCUAUGCUCUGUCGCGAGGCUGGCGGUGGCGGGUGGGUCGAUGAACAGAGAGGAAAGAUACGGUGCCGUCGAUCCGUCCUGCCUGUGGAUUCACUGGAUGCGUCUUGGUGGAGUGAGCGCUCGUGAGAUUCGAUCUGGUUGCUCUGUCUUUCAAGGUGGAUUCGUUGUCAGUAGGUUGGGACGGAUUGAUCGCUGUUGGAUUUGUUAACUUGCAGGUGGGCUAAACCUCUCGUCCUCUGGCGACGAACAUCGCCUCCCGCUAGGGUAUGCGGGCGACAGUCGUUACUCAGCGCCAGCAGGUCGCUGCCCCGUCCUCCAAUUGACAAUGGUAGCAUGCUUAUGCCUUGGGGCAUGGUGUCGCGGGUAGAGUGUGUGCUGCCAUGGCUGAACGAAGCAGCAGUCGGCCGUGCACACUGUCUGACUACUAUUGAUGUUGGUCUUUCAUGUAGGCUUGCCUUCAAAUAUCACGGCUAGGUAUGUGAUUUCUUAUACUGUAACAGACUGUACAAGUCCAUUCUCAUAUACAAGGACCAUGAAAUUGGAUUGUGGCAUUACUUCAACUAUUUUAUGAAGUCCACUGAUUUUUUGAUGAAUAACUAAUAGGUAUGUAUGGAUCGUGCAACCUGCAUAUUCACAACUCUGAAGCAAUAGAACUACAAUCAGCUCACAACCCCCAUCGAGUAGUACACCUAUCUGUUCCAUUCAGAGGUACUCAUCUUGUUGAUUCAGGUGAGAUCUAUUACCUAUACCUUAGAUCCUCUAAACUGAAGGAGCUCCGAUGGGAAGGGUAUUUUAAAAUCUGGUGUUGUCUACAUGUUUUGGCUGCUUGUAUCUUCCUAGGCGAUGUCUUACUAGCUGACGAGCAAAUCAUAUGAAAAUAUGAACCACAUAUGAUCUUUGCUAAUAGAAGUACAACACUCAACCUGUGCUAUGUCAAUUCUAUGGCCACUACAUAUUCAGACGGGCAAAUGAACCAAAUAACUCUUUCAGUGGGCCAGUGAUAGUAUUAUUUGUUGAACUGAUUAGAGAAGUAAACUAUAUACAACAGUAAACAGAAGUUGAAUUGUUUAGAGAGGUAAACUAUAGAACGGUAAUCUGAAGUACACUUGGAUCCCAAAGAUGCUGGUGGAAAUACGUCAACAAGUUACCCGCUACAAUCAUCACCAGAGAUAUAACCACAAAAACUGUAGUUCAAAUCUAUCCGCUACAUUAACCUUGAAUUUCCUAUCCAUUCUCAUCACCGAUGACCUGCCAUAAACCGUACAAAUAACAAUGAGUAUUGUGUUUACCUGCACACAAAAGAAGGGAAUUGUUCCUGAACCUGGUUUCUGAGGCCAGGCACGAGUAUUGUUUAAUUUCAGAAUUUUAGAAGAGGUGUAAACCAUUAAGAGGGACGUACCAUGACGCCAAAAGUUUCAGUCUGCCACCAAGUUUAUUUUGUUCAUCCCACAAAAAACAUGAACUCUCAAUCAAUGGCUGCAUAGUGUCAGAACACAAGAGGAUUUUGAGCCAAUCAAAAUAUAUUCAUUUAAAAAAAUCACUGCUGGACCGACUGUUAUUCUUCAGUUGCAUUCCCUCUACUUAUCUCUGACGAAUCUACUAUUCUUCAGUUGCAUCCCCCUGUACUGAUAUUAGCUAAUAUAAGUGACAAUGCUCUGACUCUUGGAAUUUGUAAUGCUCAUCCAAUCCUCCCCGUCUAUACCUAUUUAAUAGCUUCAAGAGCUCUCCCCAAAUCAUCAUUCAAAAGUUCUUCAUCUACUUGUGCUAUGUUACGUAGAUAUUUUUCUAGCUUUCAAAGGAAGCAUGUCCAGGUGUUCCUAACAUGCUCGAGGUUUGUAGGGAAUUUAGAAUAUGUAUAUCGAUCGGGCACCUUCGUUGUGUGAAAUUCCUUACUUAUUAUGUCACUUAUAUCAGCUAACUAUCAAGACCAAUGAACUGCAUCACGUCUAUGUAAUCACUUUUUAGUUUAUGUCAAGAUUAAUAGACUGCAUAUGCACCCCCACACCCUUGGUUAGAUCUACAAUCAAAUGUAAUGGUGAGAUUUAAUUUAAAAACAGUUAAUUUGUUUGCAUGGCUAUGCAAAAUUAGACAAUGAUUACAUUCUUUAAAUAAACAGUUAAGGGCAUGCCAGACUUUGCAAUCUUCAGAAGAGAUUGUUAGCCUAAAAUCUGCAAGACAAUAUAUCUGCGUACUUCGAGGACUGGUAGUUUGUUGCAAUUACCAGAUACUGCAAGCUGUGGUUCUAAUUCAUUCUUUCGCAUUACCGUUUUGGAAUUCAAUCUGUGGUUGACUGUUACUUGAUGGUUCUCUUGUUUCGAUCUCCUAGGACUGGAAUGUAGAAGCUUUUUGUUUGUUUUCUCACCAUAUCGUUGUAACAACUCUCAGCGUCUUAUGAAAAUUCUGAAGUAGUUUGGAGAAAAGAUGUGUGAGAAGUAGGUGUAUAGAUAUGUUCCUUCCAUGUAUUGGAUCGAGGAAUUUCUUAUAUUUCUUCUUUUAUUAAUUUCAGGAGAGGAAGAGAAUUUUAGUGGUACUUCAGAUUUUGGUAAUUGUUCAUGAUUGAGUUCACCAUAAUUGAUAAAAAAAUUAUGACUGUUAUCAUUUUCAUGGUUUAUUUUAGUUGCUGGAAGGAAAGCACUGCUAGAAAUUUCGGAAUUGAGAUGUGGUUUUGAACAGUUCUGUCAGGUAUUGCUUAUUUGCAUUGUGCAAUCACAAUUCUGGGGACAAUCGUUUUUAGUUUUGUAGUAUUUCGGAUCUGGAUCCUAUCUUUCUAGCAGAUCACCACAUUUGGCGGGAUUUGGCUUAUUAAACAACAAGCAAACAAUAAAUUUUGUGAAUAUAAUGUGACGUUUCCAGUUAUAACUUUUAGACUUUUGAUUCCUUCCUUUAGUUGUCAGCGGAAAAUACUGAAGGCAUGUAGUUGUAUACAUGUUUGAAAAAUCAGAAGCGGUUAGUAACAUUUUGCAUCCUGAUACUACAAUCGACAUUACUAAGCUUGAUGCACUCAUGAAUCUUUAAUAACAGGAUUAACAGUGAUGUUGCUGCUUGAGUUACUUUACAGGUAACGCUGUUAUGCCAAUGACAUAGUUUAUUCAGCUCUCAGGACAACUACUUCUAUUUCAUAUUCAUACUAAAACUUCUAUGAAGCUACCAAAAUUCCUUGUUGUGAAUUUGUUCUGAAGCUACUAAAAUAUCCCCUUAUACUAAAAUUGGAUUUCUACUGAAACUUUGUCAGGAUACUCAGUCCUGUUGUACUAAAAUUUACCUGCUUGCUUAUGCAUUAAAAUCUACCUUGUUUCUGAAAUUUAAUAAGGAGGAGCUCAAGGGAGAAAAUGAUUCAAGGAGAAGAGAGCCAGAGAAGGAGAAUUAAGAUGUGCCUUAUACUUAUAAUUUCUGAGCACUACUUGAAUCGCGAUAUCAUGUUAGAAGUGUGGGUAUGGGAGGUUUGGUGGAUUGUGAGCCGGAGAUGGUGGAGGAUUGUUAACAGCACUGAUUUAACGGUAAAAAAAUAUUGGUAGUGUUCUUUAUGAAACAUUUGGUCGAUUGUGUGCAGCUACGGGGACACAUAUUUUUGUAGUUCUACAUCAAUCAUAUUUAACUGAGAUCUGGAUGUUCAGCCAAGGUAUGUGAUGUGUAGUAUACUAUGCAAAUCUUUGUUAAAUAUCAUAUACCCACUCCGUAUACUACAUAUCAUAUACCCAGUCCCAUGAACCAUGUGGUUCUGACAUAAAAAUGUCCUUCGAUGAAUUUUUUCAUGGUUCAUGGGACCAACAACAUUCGAAGAGCAUUUCAGCUGUAUGGUUAGGCUUCUUGAAUUCUAUCAUAAGUCAUAACCUUCAUGUUACGUGGACGGACAUGCUCUGUCAAUUUUUCCCAGGUUCAUUACAACUUACGGCAACAGUAAUACUGCUUGCUUAUUUUACUAAUAACUUCUGCAGGAGGAGCUUGCAAGUAUGUUUCACUUGCUUGGGCUGGAACUUUGGUUCAUGGAGAAAAGUUGCAUGAUUAGCCAAGGUAUGUCUGAACCAAUCCUAACUAAUCUCCCCUCUACUAUGAGGAUACUAACACGAGCAUGUAGGAAUGGGAUUGUAUAUUUUUUUGCUGAAUUAUUCGCAUAGCUAUGUAAAUAUGUUCCCUCAACCUACAAGGAGCAUGAUCUUUUUGGCGCAUAACGACAAUGACAUUCUCCGCCCAGGGGAUAUUGAAUCGGUACCUUUUUUAUUGAAGCAUUAGGUCAAUUUCAAACCAUGAAGAUUAGUAAAGAGCAACUAUUCCCUGAGUCCCCUUUUGGGGCCUUGCCUUCUUUUUAUAUAUCCAUUUCUUUAGUUGACACAUCCUUCUGUCAUCUGAGCUUGUCACAUUUGGAUAUUUUUCUCAAUUGAUGAUAUGGGUACAAUUUAUGUAGAAAACUAAGGCACUCAACAUAGUGUUUGUGGCGUAAGAGGUUGGGAUUGCCACAUAAUAUUUUAGCAUGUUCAUCUAACAGACCCUCCUUUCAUUCCUUUAUAGCGCCGUGCGGUUCAUUCUCCUUUGGUGAUGGAACUCAUGGUCCUAUAUGUGCAUUUGGCAACCACUGGAAGAACAUGCGACGACUGGGCUCUCAAGUUCAGUUAUCAUAAUUAACUUGGAUGCUUUUGGGUGUUGUCUCUAGCUGGUGUAAAAUUGGCAAUGACCUAUGUUGGAGAUCUCACGUUUGCCCUGUAGAUUUUAGACUUUGAUAACUACAUCUUGCGGUGUCUUCUCACAUAAGAUACGUCCAUGUUGUUUGGUUCAAAAAUGGAACUGGGUAUGUAAUGCAGUGGAUAGAUCUUUUUUUCAGAGAGAAAUAUAUCUAUAUUUCUAUUGUUCAAUGUUUUUGAUAUAGCUAUUUCUGAUUUCAUAGAUUUGAAGUCGUUCCACCUCAGAAGAAAGCAUGAGGACAUUGUUUAUUGUGGAUGCUCCUCCCUCCCUCAAUACAUGGCGCACACACUUUCCAAAAACGGAGUUUGACUAAUUAAACAUGGGUUAUAUUUCACAAAGAAUAUAUCACCGGAUUCGUAUUUGCACGAAGUUUCCCAUGGUAUAAUUUUCACAACAUUUGACACACAUAAUACAAAACAAAUUAGUGAGGAAGUUAAAUCACACAAAACGAGGGUGGCAUGUAAAAGGGAAUACACAUUUCUAUAUGACAAUAAAUUCAUGAAGUGUACUAUGCAUGACAAGAAGUAGCAACUAACUUAUUGCAGUAAAGGGAGUUGCUAAAAACUGAUGCUACUUAAGCUAUGUAUUCCAUGUCUAAAUUGUUUCCCUCUCAACAUGCAGAAAACCAUAAGAUUAGUUCGAGAAUGAUAGUGCUUGACAUGUUUGGCACUUGUUUUGUUGCGAGUCCUUAUUGGUGUACAUGACCAUUCA
rnacentral:lncRNA from 1 species